rnacentral:SRP_RNA from 1 species
CUUCAGGCUCCGCACAAGAUUUGAGUCGUGAACCCCGCUAGAUCCGGAAGGAAGCAACGGCAGCGAUUUCAGUCUGUGUUGCGGUUAAGUCUGAAGCCG